AUGAACGUCACCAUCCUCAGCCCCAAGCUCAUCCCAGCGCAAAUCCUCCUCCCGGCUCCAAAAGGGAUCACCUCGAAGUCGCUUCCCUUCACAUCCAAGUGAGCACCAUCCCCACCCGGCAUGAACCUGUCCGGUUUGAACUCUACCGGGGCCGCCCAAACAGCCGGGUCUCGUGCAAUAGCCCACACAUUUACCAGGAGAGUGGCGUUUUUGGGAAUGUGAUAGCCAUUGAUGGUGCAAGAUUCGGAG
rnacentral:misc_RNA from 1 species